GACGAACGCUGGCGGCGUGCCUAAUACAUGCAAGUUGAGCGCUGAAGGUUGGUACUUGUACCAACUGGAUGAGCAGCGAACGGGUGAGUAACGCGUGGGGAAUCUGCCUUUGAGCGGGGGACAACAUUUGGAAACGAAUGCUAAUACCGCAUAAAAACUUUAAACACAAGUUUUAAGUUUGAAAGAUGCAAUUGCAUCACUCAAAGAUGAUCCCGCGUUGUAUUAGCUAGUUGGUGAGGUAAAGGCUCACCAAGGCGAUGAUACAUAGCCGACCUGAGAGGGUGAUAGGCCACAUUGGGACUGAGACACGGCCCAAACGCCUACGGGAGGCAGCAGUAGGGAAUCUUCGGCAAUGGACGAAAGUCUGACCGAGCAACGCCGCGUGAGUGAAGAAGGUUUUCGGAUCGUAAAACUCUGUUGGUAGAGAAGAACGUUGGUGAGAGUGGAAAGCUCAUCAAGUGACGGUAACUACCCAGAAAGGGACGGCUAACUACGUG
rnacentral:rRNA from 1 species